rnacentral:rRNA from 1 species
AUUGAACGCUGGCGGCAUGCCUUACACAUGCAAGUCGAACGGCAGCGCGGGAGCAAUCCUGGCGGCGAGUGGCGAACGGGUGAGUAAAGCAUCGGAACGUGCCCUGGAGUGGGGGAUAACGUAGCGAAAGUUACGCUAAUACCGCAUAUUCUGUGAGCAGUAAAGCAGGGGAUCGCAAGACCUUGCGCUUUAGGAGCGGCCGAUGUCGGAUUAGCUAGUUGGUGAGGUAAAGGCUCACCAAGGCGACGAUCCGUAGCGGGUCUGAGAGGAUGAUCCGCCACACUGGGACUGAGACACGGCCCAGACUCCUACGGGAGGCAGCAGUGGGGAAUUUUGGACAAUGGGCGCAAGCCUGAUCCAGCCAUGCCGCGUGAGUGAAGAAGGCCUUCGGGUUGUAAAGCUCUUUCGGUGGGGAAGAAAUUGCUUAGGCUGAUAUCCUGAGUAGACGACGGUACCCGCAUAAGAAGCACCGGCUAACUACGUGCCAGCCGCCGCCGUAA